AAGACUAUAGACCUGCGGAGUACCUGCGGAAGGAUCAUUACCGAGUGAGGGUCCUCGUGGCCCAACCUCCCAACCCUGUGUCUACCGUACCUUGUCGUUGCUUCGGCGGACCGGUUGCUGACCAACUGGUUUCAACCGCCGGGGGCCCUUCGCCCCUGGAGCGCGUCCGCCGAUGGCCCAACCACUUAACUCUUUGACCCGAAACCAGUGUCGUCUGAAAACACGUUUGUGAUGAAUACA
rnacentral:misc_RNA from 1 species